rnacentral:rRNA from 1 species
GAUGAACGCUGGCGGCGUGCCUAAUACAUGCCAGUCGAGCGAACGGACGAGAAGCUUGCUUCUCUGAUGUUAGCGGCGGACGGGUGAGUAACACGUGGAUAACCUACCUAUAAGACUGGGAUAACUUCGGGAAACCGUAGCUAAUACCGGAUAAUAUUUUGAACCGCAUGGUUCAAUAGUGAAAGACGGUCUUGCUGUCACUUAUAGAUGGAUCCGCGCUGCAUUAGCUAGUUGGUAAGGUAACGGCUUACCAAGGCAACGAUGCAUAGCCGACCUGAGGGGGUGAUCGGCCACACUGGAACUGAGACACGGUCCAGACUCCUACGGGAGGCAGCAGUAGGGAAUCUUCCGCAAUGGGCGAAAGCCUGACGGAGCAACGCCGCGUGAGUGAUGAAGGUCUUCGGAUCGUAAAACUCUGUUAUUAGGGAAGAACAUAUGUGUAAGUAACUGUGCACAUCUUGACGGUACCUAAUCAGAAAGCCACGGCUAACUACGUG